GGAGAGAUGGUAGAGUGGUCGAUUACAACGGUCUUGAAAACCGUCGCACUGAGAGGUGCCGGGGGUUCGAAUCCCUCUCUCUCCGCAA
rnacentral:tRNA from 8 species